rnacentral:lncRNA from 1 species
CUAUCCUUCACAGUAUAUUUGGUAGAGGGGAUCUGAUGAAGUUUGAGAUUGGAGAAGAUGAGCUUGAAGCUUCACAGUUAUAUCCUGAUUAUAACUAUACCUCCAUUGAUCAACUUCUUCAUAUAUUUAGGGUUCAUCCUUUACCUCCUCCUCCAUAUGCUGCUUUUGAAUGAACUUGUUUUGUAUUUGUAUAAUAUAUAUACAUAAAGUUUAAGCUUCAAAUUUCAUGUAAACUAUUCAAGAAAUGUUGUGUAAAUAAGAUUUGGUCGAGUUUUUAAAUCAUGUAAUAAAGAUGGUGUUUUUAUCUUUUGAUCGCAUGGACUUAGGCCACACCACAUGGAGAAUAAAGUUUUGAGAUCAAUUGAAGAUGUUUAUCUCGAAUUCCACUCACAACAUGUGAAACAAGGGUUAAAUAUAGUUUUUCUUAUUGUAUUAUAACACGAAAUUGGUUUUUGUAUUUGAUUUAAACUUUGGAUCAUCGAAAUGUUUGUAGCAAGAAAACGAUUGAAAUGCAUUCUUAAUACGAGAACGAUAUUAAAUUUUUUUUUAUGUGAUGAAUGAAGUUCCAGUAUAGAUUAUAUUAUAAUAUUAUAACAUUCACGUCAAUAAUAAAGUAAUGUUAACCUAAACUUUCAUGCUGAUGUGAAUAACGAUUAUCUAGUGUUGAUAUUAUAAUAUUAUAAUAUAAUGCACGUAAAAAAAAGUUAAUGUAACUUGUUGUCAAAUAUUUAUUCCAAUUGUUUUUAUACUACAUACACUUCAAUGGUCUAAAAUUUAGACUAAAAAUAAAGAUAAAUUUUACGUUAUAAUACAAAUACAAAAGAACAUAUUUAAUUCAUAAAACAAUGGUAAGGUUCUAAUAAGACUGAAACAAUCAAGAGUCUGUUAAAAAUACUUAAUGGUGUAGAAUAUAAGAAAGAACAUAUCAAUUAGACUCUUAUGAUAUUCGAAAUGUGAAGGAUAUUUUAUGUCCUUUAUACCAUAUAACUCUAUAGCUGUAAAUUUAUUCUAGAUGUGUAUUUUUUUUAGAGGUUAAAAGAGAAUCCAUUAUCUGAUAUUCAUCUUGUUCACUUACAAGUAAAUUUACCCAAUUCAUUCACUACAAAAAUAUUAAAAAAAAAAAAUUAUUGAAUUAAAUGCAUUUAUUUCAAUGAAUAAUUUGUAUCAAAACCAUGAUUAAAAAAAGAGCAUGACUCUUGUCAUUUUUAUAUUUGUUUUAUUCUUGGACUUAUAUUUUUUUAUAAAACCUAUGAGACUUUGUGCCAUUUUUCUUUUCUUUUUCGUAGUAACCAAGGUUACCCAAUAUAAAAAGGUGAGAAAAGAAAGAAAAAAUAAAAUAACAAUUAAAUUAAGUUAGACUGAUAUAGGUUAAAAAAAAGUACAAAACAACAAUAAUGAAAACAAAAAGAAAAGUCAAAGGCAAACUAAAAAAAAGAUUUUUUUAAAGUGGUUCAAAGAAAAGUUUGGAGUUAGAUUACUAGUAAAGAAAAAGAUACAUAGUUCACUACCUGAAACUUCUGGUAUGUAUAAAAAUUGUGAAAUAGGUUUGUUUCCUUUAUUUUGGCAUGUCUCUCUAACUCUUUGUUUUAGGAAGAAAGAAGUUGUGCGUUUUACAAAAUGAUCUUAAGUUGUUUGUCCUCCUAAGUGGAGUAAGAAGUUGGUUUACAUAAGGACCAUUUAUCUCUUAUUUUAGAAUAAAGAGACUCUAAGGAGGAAUUUUAGUGAUUAGGAAAGCAAUAUCUAUGGUUUUUGUUGAGAUCGUGGUAUAUUCAGUUGAUGCGUUAUUUGUAAAUGGGAUUUUUAUAAGUUCCCCUAAUUGUUGGCAGUUUAUACUUAGUGGUUUGUUUAUAUUUUACGUUUUUCAUGAGUUUGACGUGUUGCACUCUAGUUCUUGCCAAUGGUAAACUUCUUUGGAUGUGCUGUUUUUUAGAUAAAAGUUAGUUGAGAACUUGGAAUAGGUUGGAGUGUAAGAUCCUAUCUUAUUUUUUUAUUUAUUUUUGUAUAAAGAUUGAGUAACCCUUAAGUAAUCUAUAUUUAUUUAUUUAAUAGAUUUUUUUAUUAGAAAUAAAUAAAUAAAUAAAAAUAAUUAUUUAAGGAAAUGUUUAAUCGUAUAAAAAAAUGAGUUACUCCCAUCUUAAAAUACAAGCAAAAAAAACAGUCCUUAAACUUCAUGCUUCUACACAUAAGAUCACAACCACUAACCCAUAAAUUUUAUACCAGAAUAAAAAAUGAAUUUCAUUUGGUUUAAGUCCUUCCCUUUCCAAUCAAAUAAUUUGAAUAUUUUUUUUCUGAACAAUAAAAAAAAUAAAAAAAUGGAACACUUUAGAAAUGUUUCAACCCUUAUAUAUAAGGCUAAAAACUCUACCACUUAGUAGGUCAAAAGCAAAGAACAUAUACCACAACAUAGCUCAUAGAUGCAAUCUAAAAUGGUCUUUUUACCAUUAUAUUGAAAACAGAGAUGGUACCAAAUCUUCAUCCUAUAUUAUUUGUCUAUCAACUUAAUAUAUGGUUGAUGUUAUUAUUGGAAUUUUAUAUUAUAUAUAUAUAUAUAUAUAUAUUGCGGGACAUUUUAUAUAUCUAUCAAAUUUACAUGAAAAUAGUUGAUAUGUUGAAAGGAAACAAACAAUAAUCACAUAAUGUUGCUUCUAGGACCGAUUUAGUCAUCGAAAUUUCAUUUGGUUUUUUAAUUUUGGUGACUAAAUUUAUCUGCGACGAAUUUAACGUUUCUAAAUUUUGGUGACCAAAUUUUUACGAUCGAUUUAACCAUCGAAAUUUCGGAUGCAAAUUAGCAACCACUUUAUAAUUCGGUCACUAAAGGAUUUGUGACUAGGGUUUUCACUUCCAUCUUUAUUUCGUGAAUACUUUGGUCAUAAAUGUGUUUAGCGACCGAUUAUAGUGAUUUUAGCGACCGAAUUUGGUGCUUGCUAAAAGUGAUUUUAUUUUAGUGAUUAUAUUAAAAAAUGAAUUUUAAUUUUAAUUCAACCUUACAAAACUGAAUCAUAAAGUAAAAUUAGUUAUAUACUAUAAAAUAUAUUUAUUUCAAGUCAUAUAUAAAAUUUUUAACAUUCUAAAUUACAGAAAUUUUUAAAAAAAUCUACAAACUCGAAUUAAAAUAAUAUUUAUUACUCUAAGAAUAUGUUUCUAGAAACAACUUUAGAGAAGAAAAAUACGAAAACAUAAAAGGAAUUUUCUCAUGAACUAAAAUUAGUUUAUUUGGUAGGAAAUUAGAUAUAUUGUCUAUAAAUGAAUGAUUUUGACUUGAGGAAAUUGUUAUUGUAAUUUAUAAAAAUAUAGUUUUUCUUACAACUCUCUGUGGCAAAAUGUUAUAAAAAUAGAUAAAUAAAUAUCUUAUACAUUGUAUACCAUACCUUUUGCUAAACCCUAAUCCAAAUAGUUCCAUGCAAAGUGGUACCAUUAAUUUUGAUUUCUUCUUUAUUGAUGUUCAGUGAUUGGUUGGUAUCAAUGACAUGUGACACAAUGUACAUGUUAUGUACGUGAGACCCACUUCUUCUGCUUUAUUUUUAACUAAAAAAUUAUUAAAUAACAAUAAAUUUUAGACAUAAAAAAUAAUUAGUUACUAUAUUAACUAAAUUAGAUAAAUUAAAAAAUUAUUAAUAUCUAAAGGAGUUUCUAUUAUUAAUACAAAUUUAUAAAAUAGUUUCUAAAUUGGUAUCUAACUUUUAGAUACUAAUUUAGAAUCUAAAACAUUGGUAGCUAAAUAUUAGUAAUUACACUACAAGAAAAUCAUGAAAUAGAAACCAAUUUUAGAGACAAAAAAUAAUUAGUUGGAAUAGUGACUAAAUUAGAGACCAUUUUAGAGACUAAAUAAAUUUUUGGUAGUAUUAAUGCUUAUUUCACCAUACAAUAAGUGAAGAAGAGUAUAUAUUUAUAAACAUCAUUCGUCCAAUAUGGUCUAGUCCCCCCAUAUUUUUGUAUUUUUUUUUUGUUAAUAAUAUUUUUUUCAUGUGAUGACAAAUGAUUGUUGUUACUUGAGGUGUUAGCCUAGCUGAGAUGUCAAGUUGCAUAGUGAUGCCUAAUAUGAAAACUUUUAAAAAAAAAAACUAUUGAACUUGAAACGAGUACUUAUACCUCCCCCACACAUUAAGUGCCAUAUGGCACCACGUGUUAUACAUCCCCACACAUUAAGUGCCAUAUGGCACCACUUGUUUUCUUAAUUAAUAUUCAGUGGUUGAUAAGUAGGUAUCAAUUAAUGCAUGUGAUGAUACAAUACAAUAUUAUGCAUAUGAGACCACUUGUUUUGCUUUAUUCUUAAUUGGUAUUCAUUGGGUUGGUAUCAAUAUUAAUAGCAUGUAAAAAAGACAUAUGAUAUAUAUGCUAAUAAAAGAAAACAUUUGAUAGAAAAUAUAGAAUGUUAUUUAAAGGGAUAAGCUAAGCAUUGAUUUGGAAGAGAAGAGAAGAGUUGAAAAAUGGAGAGAAAGAAUAGAAUAGUUGUAUUUGGAGGAAGUGGUUACAUAGGGAAGCAUUUGGUGAAGGCAAGUAUCUCUUUAGGUCAUCCAACAAUUGUCUACACUCGUCCUCUCACUUCACAAACUCUUCCUUCAAAGACACAACUUUACAAGGAUUUCACUUCCAUGGGAGUCACACUUAUACAGGUCAUAUAUAUACUUAUUUGUAUGAGACGAUAUUUGUUCUAGUAAAAAGUUAGUAACAAGUUUUUAGGAAAAGAAGUUCUUCGUUUCUAUGCAAUUUUGUACCUGCGUUGAAUUACUUUAAAGUAAUUUUUUUUAUUGCUGAUAAAAAAAUAGUAAUAAUAAUAAAUGGAGAUCCCACAUCGACUUGAGAUUAGAAUAUUUCAUUGUAUAUAAGUGGGUGCAAACCUUACCCCAUGAGUCGGUUUUAUGGGGUUAAAUUAGGCUUAAAGUCCACGUUGUAAUAUGGUAUCAGAGCCUUGUCCCACACACGAACUGUCACUAUAAGCGUGAGGUGGUGUGUUGGAGAUCCCACAUCGACUAUAAGGUUGACUUAAGCUUAAAGUCCACUUCUUAAUAAUGCAUUUAAAUAAUGUGGUGAAAGUGUAUUGUUAAUAUAUUUUUUCUUUGAAAAAUAGAUUUUUGAUAUGGUGAUUUUCUAAAAGAGUGUAAAGUGCAAGCACAGGGAGAACUUGAGUAUGAACAGAUUCUGGAAGUGAUUAAAGAAGCAGACAUUGUGAUAAGUGCAUUGGCAUACCCUCAAGUCAUGGACCAACUCAAAAUUAUAGAUGCCAUCAAAGUUGCUGGAAAUAUAAAGGUACAUUUUCCUCAUUAAUCAUUACAAAAUCCAAAUUAUAUACCUCUUUCAAAAUCUAAUUAUAAUAAAAUAAUCUAAAUAUAAAGUUUGAGAAUUCCAUUUUCAGUACAAAAUCUAAUUAAAAGAAACACUCGUCUAAAUAAAUAUUUGUUUUUUAAAUAAAAACUUUUAUGUUAGGUAUCUUUAUGCAACUUAACAUCUUAGUUAUGCUGACAUCUCAAGUAACAACAAUCAUUUGUCAUCGCAUGAAAAAAGUAUUAUUAAAAAAGAAAAAUCAAGAAAAUACAAAAAUAUGGAGGAACUAGACCAAAACUCAUAUAUUAACAAAAACGAUACAUAGGUAGAUUAUAUAUACCUAUUCAUAAAGAAUUCUAAGAACAGAUUAGAUGACAACCUAUUAUAUCAAAGAAAAGAUUUUCUAUAUAAAUAAAUUUUAAAUUAGCCAACUUAUCAGUACACACAUUCCUUUCAUGAAAAAUAUGGAUAAUCCUAAACCUGAUUUCCCCAGUAAUUAAAUAUUUGUUUAUUUGAGUAUUUGAGUUAGUUUUGUGCAUUGGUAUUGCAGAGAUUUGUUCCAUCAGGAUUUGGAGCAGAAGAAGAAAGAACAAAGCCUCUUCCUCCAUUUGAAGUUUUAUUGGAAAAGAAAAUGAAAAUUAGAAGAGAAAUUGAAGCUGCUGGAAUUCCUUACACUUCUAUUAAUGGAAAUUGUUUUGCUGCAUAUUUUGUCAAUUAUUUGCUUCGUCCAUAUGAAGAUGUGAAGGAUAUUGUAGUCUAUGGUAAUGGUGAAGCCAAAGGUAUCAAAUCUCACAAAUUAACUAUUUAAAUUAUUACCAUUAAUACAAAUAUACAGAUCUUAUUUUCUUUUUGCAAUAUAUAUUAAUUAUCACCUCAAAAUCAAUAAAUUUAAAAAUAUUAUUCAUUUUAGUUUGUAUUUAAGUUGACUAAUGGGCACAUGCAUGCAUUCACAAAAAUGUAAUUGCUUUUGGUUUGACCUAAUGUUAUAUUUUUUUGCUACUUCACUAUCAUUGUUUUUCUAUAUUUUACUCAGUUUUUUUUUUAAUAAAAUUUUUUAAAGUAACAACAAUCAUUUUUCAUCACAUAAAAAAAAUAUUAUUAAAAAUUAAAAAUAAAAUACAAAAAAUAAGGUUUAUACCAAAACUUAUAUAUUAAUAAAAAUAAUACAUAGGUAGAUUAUAUCUAUUUUUAAAGAAUUCUAACAACAUUAUAUAUAUAUCAUAUUUUUUAAUAUUUGUACCUUGAUAUGUUAAAUGUAUAACAAAGUAAUGAUAUGUUUCUUAAAAAACAUUAUUACUAGUUUUUGAAAAUGGACUUUUUUUUAUUAACCCAAAUAGAAAAAUGUGUAAAAAUUAAAAAAAAAACGAAUAAAAUGUGUGAAAAUUGAAAUUUUGAUGGUAAAAUGAAUAGUAAAAUAAAAUCUCAGAAAAUAAUAAUAAAAUAUGAGCAAACCCUGCUUUAUUUUGUUGCAAAAAUAUUAAGUGGUAGCAUGCAAUGAUACUAUUCUGUAUAUUACUAUUAGCAAUAUUAAUUGCAUGCAACUAGUAAAAAAAUCUUUAAAUUCAAAUCAAUUUUAAAGAUAAAUAAUAAUUAGUUGUUAUAUUGAUAAAAUUAUAUAUUAUUUUAAAAAUUAAAAAAAUUAUUAAUAUUUAAAUUAAUUUUUAGUUUUGAUAAAUAAUUUUUAAAUUAGUAUCUAAUUAGUUACCUAAAUUUUAGCUACUAAUUAUUUAGAUCAUAAAGUUAGUAUUUAAAAUCUUGAUAUCUAAUUAUAUACCAAUUUAAAAAUUAUUUAUCAAUAAUAAAAAUUAAUUUAGAUAUUAAUAAUUUUUUUAGUCUCUUUGUUAAUAUAACAAUUAAUAUAACAGUGUUUUUCUUUGGUUAAUAUAAAUUUGUUUAUACUCUGAUUAAAAUUUGUGUUGAUUAGCUGUGCUAAAUUACGAAGAAGACAUUGCUAUGUUCACUGUUAAAGCAGCAAAUGAUCCAAGAACACUCAAUAAAGUGCUUAUUUGUCGUCCUCCAAAGAAUAUCAUAUCACAGAAUGAGUUGAUAUCACUGUGGGAGCAAAAAUGUGGUCACACUUUUACCAAGACUUUUCUUUUGGAGGAAGAACUAGUGAAACAAUCAGAGAGUAAGAAAAUUUAUUAACUUGUACUUAGCUUUUGUGAGAUUCCUAAUGGUAAAGUUUUUUUUGUGUGAGCAUAUAAUGUGCAGGUUUACCUCCUCCACACAAUAUUCCAGUUUCUAUCCUUCACAGUGUAUUUGCAAGAGGGGAUCUGAUGAAGUUUGAGAUUGGAGAAGAUGAGCUUGAAGCUUCACAGUUAUAUCCUGAUUAUAACUAUACCUCCAUUGAUGAACUUCUUCAUAUUUUUAGGGUUCAUCCUUUACCUCCUCCUCCAUAUGCUGCUUUUGAAUGAACUUCUUUUGUAUUUAUAUAAUAUAUAUACAUAAAGUUUAAGCUUCAAAUUUCAUGUAAACUAUUCAAGAAAUGUUGUCUAAAUAAGAUUUGGUCGAGUUUUUAAAUCAUGUAAUAAAGA